AGCAGAUUUUCCUCCGCGUGCCACCCGACGACCCCGCGCGCCUACUCCGCGGCGCGCUCGUUUGCAAGCACUGGGCCCGCCUCCUCGCCCACCGCGACUUCCGCCGCCGGUACGGCGAGCGCCACGGGGGCCUGCCUCCGCUGCUCGGCUUCGUCGCCAACAAAAUUUCCACCGACGGGGUCGCGCGCUUCGUCCCCACGCUCGCCUUCUCGCCCGCUCUCCGCCACGACGGGUACCGCGCGCACGACGCCCGCCACGGCCGCGUCCUUCUCAACCGGAUCAUGGGUGGCGGUAGCGGCGCCUCCCACGCGCUCGCGGUCUGGGACCCCGUCACCGACGACCACCAGUCCCUGCCGCUCUUCCCGUGGCCCCCCCCACCAGCAGUUAAACAGCUGGAACGCCGCCGUGCUCUGCGCCAGCUCCUCCUGCUACGGCCACCACCUCGACUGCCGCCCCGGCCACUUCCUCGUCGCCUUCGUCGGCAUGGACGCCAAGGAGAUGUUCGCCCGCGUCUACUCAUCUGAGUCCGCCGCGUGGGGCAAGGUGACCUCCGCCCGGCUUCCAGGCAGCCAUUUCCACGACAAGCUGUCCGGCGCUCUAGCGCGGAACGCGAUCUACUUCGUACUCGGGCCGGAACACGGGAUGGUCAAGUAUGAUCUGGCUACGGGCAAGCUGUCUCUGGUCGCCGUACCAGAGACGCUUACGCUCGAUGGUUGGCGCUUGAUGACUACGGAGGACGGUGGGCUGGGAUUUGCAGAGUUGAACUUGCAUUCGACUCUCACGCUCUGGUCCAUGGUGGACGAAGGGAGAUGGGCCGUAAGCAGGGCCAUCGACCUGACCGACCGACUCCCAGUUAUUGCCCUCGCGGUAUCCACUUGUAUGGUUGCCUUUGCGGACAUUGCCGGUGUCAUCUUCCUUAGGACGACAGAUGGGCUCUACACUUAUGAUCUCAAGACUGAGCAGAGCAUUCUUGUUAUGGAUAAUGACUUCUAUGGCAUCAUACCCUACGCGAGCUUCUACACUCCAGUGUUACGGGUGGCCACCACAUGCGAGGGGUCUGCCUCGACUUCUUGACAGAGACCUAUAGUGCUGAUCAGAUGCUUUCUUGGCAAUAGAAAGUUUUGUUGGUAGUAGUAUUAGCUUUAUAGGGGGACAGGUCAUUAGGGUUGAUCUUGUGCUUGAGGCCUUGCCUACAGGCUACAGACACGGUACUACUGAAAUAGUUAGCAAAAGAUAGGAAUACUGUUGUAAUCUGGAACGUAGCAGUACAUAUCAACUGCCCGUCUUAGUUUCAGCUCAUGAAGUGAAUGCAUACCAAACUA
rnacentral:misc_RNA from 1 species